rnacentral:rRNA from 1 species
CCUACGGGAGGCAGCAGUGGGGGAUAUUGCACAAUGGGGGGAACCCUGAUGCAGCGACGCCGCGUGGGUGAAGGAGUGCUUCGGCAUGUAAAGCCCUAUCGGCAGGGAAGAAGCAAGACGGUACCUGACUAAGAAGCCCCGGCUAACUACGUGCCAGCAGCCGCGGUAAUACGUAGGGGGCGAGCGUUAUCCGGAUUCACUGGGUGGAAAGGGAGCGGAGACGGCCAAGCAAGCCAGGGGUGAAAGCCCGGGGCCCAACCCCGGGACUGCCCUUGGAACUGCAUGGCUGGAGUGCGGGAGGGGCAGGCGGAAUUCCUGGUGUAGCGGUGAAAUGCGUAGAUAUCAGGAGGAACACCGGCGGCGAAGGCGGCCUGCUGGACCGCGACUGACGUUGAGGCUCGAAAGCGUGGGGAGCGAACAGGAUUAGAUACCCCGGUAGUC